AAGAUACGUGAAAAAAAUUUGAGUGGGGAACCGGAUGGAGGGACGUUUGCUAAAUGUGGAUGAGCAAAAGGAAGAAUGUGUCCACAGCGAGGAAGAUGAGGACCUGACAACUGGGACAGCUGGGGGACGGCCCAUGAACACCAGCCUUUCCAACUGUCGACCGAUAACCCAGAGAAAUAAGACCACACAGAAUGGGGAAUGUUGACUGUGAAUUGAUAACCACUAAUUACCUUUUGCUUAAAAACAGGGGCCAUGUUAAAUCAUGAAUGUGGAAAAUUUUUGCAGAAACAAAAUAUUCCUGUAUAAAGAAAACGGUUUUGUCAAAGAAUAACAACCGUUUAAUGUCCACCUGACAUUGAUAUUUGUUGAUCCCGGCCUCCCACCAUAUUCUUCAAAAAAGGACAUGAAGAGGAUGACACAAAUGCCUAAAAUAGACUGCUUAAAGAAAAUAGUGGGACGAAAAGAGAAAGCAGAAUAAAUAAUGCGAUGUUAUAUGAGAAGAACAGAUAUUCUGGCAAAGUCUGAGGACAUCAAUCAAGAAUCAGAUAAUCGUUGUGUUCCAAACAUUGGGUCUGCGUCACUGUUGACAGAUGUCAACACCUUAAAAUAACAAUAUCACCACAAAUUUGCCCAGAGAGCAUAUUCUUCAAGACUUCCUUCAAGUAACAAAAUUUAUCCAUAGCAUUCCACAUGCAUAAAUUUCAUGUA